rnacentral:lncRNA from 14 species
CUGACCUCAGGCAAAGGUUUUCAUCACUGACACUUCCAAGCUGAAGAAUGAAUUUCCAUAGUUUUGAAAAUAUCAGCCUCAGAAGUCUUCUGAUCUCAUGGAAUUUCAGCAUUAUCGGCAUAGAGCACUUAAAGGAUGAAGAUUUAUUUCAAAAGAAUUAUUUCUAUUAUGGUAC